AGUGAACGCUGGCGGUAUGCCUAACACAUGCAAGUCGAACGGCAGCACAGUAAGAGCUUGCUCUUACGGGUGGCGAGUGACGGACGGGUGAGGAGUACAUCGGAAUCCUAUUUUUCGUGGGUGAUAACGUAGGAAAAGUUCCGCUAAUACCGCAUACUACCAACGGGUUGAUGCAGUGGUGCUUGAGAGCUUGGGCGAUAGUUUGAGACGAUGUCGUAUUAGAUAGUUGGCGAGGUAAAGGAACACCAAGGCAACGAUACGUAGCUGAUCUGAGAGGAUGAUCGGCCACACUGGAACUGAGACACGGUCCAGACUCCUACGGGAGGCAGCAGUAGGGAAUCUUCCACAAUGGGCGAAAGCCUGACGGAGCCACACCGCGUGAGUGAUGAAGGUCUUCGGAUUGUAAAGCCCUUUUAUUAGGAAAGAAAAACCGCGUAAGAAACCGCGGCUGUUCUGACGGUACCUAAACAGAAAGCAACGGCUAACUACGUG
rnacentral:rRNA from 1 species